GAGAGAGAGAGAGAGAGAGAGAGAGAGAGAGAGAGAGAGAGAGAGAGAGAGAGACGCGCUCCGCGUUUCCUCUCGAGGCAGUGCCACUGUAUCUACCAUGACUCCCUGCUCUGUAUUUCUCUCGGUUCUUUAUGUAUUUAGCUUUUGGUUCAGAGGCCUGCAAGGGUCAGAACAUCAUACCUCUACAGUUUUUUUGCUCAAAGGAAAGGAUUUAUUCAUGGAAAUAAAUACACAGAAACCCACCGGUGUCUUUUUAUGGCGCUAUAAAUCCCAAAAAAUAAUAAGGCAUGAUCCCGAUGGGCGGACCCUUUUCUUUGACAAAAGGGCAAAGUUAUCAACAGAGAAUUACUCAUUACAAAUAGAAAACCUAAGAUUGAAUGACGGUGGAAUUUACCAAGCAGUAGAUAUAGGUGGUAAAGAAGAUAAAGUUAUUGCUGAAUACAACGUCACAGUUCAAGAGCGGGUAUCACCAGUGGUCCUGAAUGUGUCGUCUGUGUCUCCCAGUCGUGAAUCCUGUAAAGUGACCGUGACCUGUAGCACUCAGAGCUCCUCCUUAAACUCCACCUUCACGUGCACCCCUCGGACCUGCUCUGGGGAUGGAGGAGACCCAGCAGAGGUCGUGACCUCUGAUGCCCCGCUCAACCUCUACCUGUCAAAUGGUUCGAUCGCCAUCUGUAACCAUAGCAACAAAGUGAGCUGGUCAAA